AUUUUCAUUAAAUUCUGCAAUCAUAUCCCACACCAUUUGAAAUGUGAAACUAACACUAAAUUUAAGCAUACUAAAACAACCAUUUUAUGAUUUAGCUACGGGAAACGUAUCCUGAAAUGUCUAUGUAUGGAUGCAGCUCUGAAUCUACUAUAGUUCGUUCACCCAACAGAAAUAGUUAAGCCCCUCCUCAACAAUUACCGCCACAUUUGAAUACGACAUUGUUAUUGGUGUAAUUUUUGAAGCCACAAUCACACUUGUAAAGCGAAUUGGCCGAAUUGGGUAAUCUGUCAUCUGUCAUCUUGCCUAUUGCGUUUCUGCCGGUUUUUACGUUUUUACAUCUUUACUUGCGUCAAUUUGCCAUUAAUCUCCUUUAUUCACACAAAAUAAUCUUUAUAAAGACUCGUCGGUGUAUUCUAAAGAUAGUCAGAAAAGUUGUACGCAAACAUGAAUGUCGCCGGUGCUGCUUUCUCUCCACCGAAAAAACGUUCUGCCAAGCACUUUUCAGUUGAAGACAAAACUGGCAUUUUAAAUAUCUUCAAGGCAUAUUCGGAAGACAACCAGGAGGUAUCUAAAACGGAUAAAGUUGAGUUUACGGCUAAAGCAGCAGGUGUAAGCAUUCCGAGUGUCUACAAGAUUCUUCGGGAGUAUACAGAGGUACACGAACUUCAUUCACCUAAAAAAUAUUAUCGACCACGAACAAUUUUGGACAAUAUUGAU